rnacentral:rRNA from 1 species
CACGUAGGAGGCGAGCGUUGUCCGGAAUCAUUGGGCGUAAAGAGCUCGUAGGCGGCUUGUCGCGUCGACUGUGAAAACCCGCGGCUCAACCGUGUGGUCUGCAGUCGAUACGGGCAGGCUAGAGUUCGGUAGGGGAGACUGGAAUUCCGGGUGUAGCGGUGGAAUGCGUAGAGAUCCGGAAGAACACCGGUGGCGAAGGCGGCCUGCUGGGCAGUAGCUGACACUGAGGCGCGACAGCGUGGGGAGCAACAGG